rnacentral:rRNA from 1 species
GACGAACGCUGGCGGCGUGCUUAACACAUGCAAGUCGAACGGAAAGGCCCUGCUUUUUUCGGGUUCUCGAGUGGCGAACGGGUGAGUAACACGUGAGUAACCUGCCCUUCACUUUGGGAUAACUUCUGGAAACUGGGGCUAAUACCGGAUAGUAACUUCUGCUGCCUGGUGGGGGGUGCAUAGUUUCGGCGGGUGGGGAUAGUCGCGCGGCUUAGCAUCUUGUUUGUGGGGGAGUGGCUUCCCCCGGGUUUGCGGGGUCGCCGGCAUGGGAGGGUAGCCGGCCACCUUGGGACUGAGAUACGGCCCAGACGCCUACGGGGGGCAGCAGUGGGGAACAUUGCACAAUGGGGGGAAGCCUGAUGCAGCAACCCCGGGUGCGGGAUGACGGCCUUCGGGUUGGAAACCGCUUUCGGCUGUGACGAAGCGUGAGUGACGGUAAUGGGAAAAGAAGCACCGGCUAACUACGUG